AACUGGGGUUAAUUCCCGAUGGGUGAGGAGGCCUGGAAUGGUUCUUCACUGAAAGGGCGCUAGAGGCAUGCUCUCUAACGUUGCCCAAGGAUGGGGCCGCGGCCGAUCAGGUUGUUGGUGAGGUAACGGCUUACCAAGCCUAUAACCGGUACGGGCCGUGAGAGCGGAAGCCCGGAGAUGGGCACUGAGAUAAGGGCCCAGGCCCUACGGGGCGCAGCAGUUGCGAAAACUCCGCAAUGCACGAAAGUGUGACGGGGCUACCCCGAGUGCCGUCCGCUGAGGAUGGCUUUUCUCCGCUGUAAGGAGGCGGAGGAAUAAGGAGAGGGCAAGACUGGUGUCAGCCGCCGCGGUAAUACCAGCUCUCCGAGUGGUAGGGGUGAUUAUUGGGCUUAAAGCGUCCGUAGCCGGCCUGGCAAGUCUUCCGUUAAAUCCAGCAACCUAAUUGUUGGGCUGCGGGGGAUACUGUUAGGCUUGGGGGCGGGAGAGGCCGACGGUAUUCUCGGGGUAGGGGUGAAAUCUUAUAAUCCCGAGAGGACCACCAGUGGCGAAGGCUGUCGGCUAGCACGCGCCUGACGGUGAGGGACGAAAGCUGGGGGAGCGAACCGGAUUAGAUACCCGGGUAGUCCCUGCUGUAAACGAUGCGAGCUAGGUGUUGGGGCGGCUACGAGCCGCUUCAGUGCCGCAGCGAAGGCGUUAAGCUCGCCGCCUGGGGAGUACGGCCGCAAGGCUGAAACUUAAAGGAAUUGGCGGGGGAGCACCACAAGGCGUGAAGCUUGCGGUUCAAUUGGAGUCAACGCCGGGAGCCUUACCGGGGGCGACAGCAGGAUGAAGGCCAGGUUGAUGGUCUUGCUGGACGAGCUGAGAGGAGGCGCAUGGCCGUCGUCAGUUCGUGCCGUGAGGUGUCCUCUUAAGUGAGGUAACGAUCGAGACCCGCGCCCCUUGUUGCUAACAGACUCCAUCGGGGUCUGUGCACACUAGGGGGACCGCCGUCGAUAAGACGGAGGAAGGAGCGGGCCACGGCAGGUCAGUAUGCCCCGAAUCCCCCGGGCCACACGCGAGCUGCAAUGGCAGGGACAAUGGGUGUCGACUCCGAAAGGAGGAGGUAAUCUCUAAACCCUGCCUCAGUUGGGAUCGAGGGCUGAAACCCGUCCUCGUGAAUAUGGAAUGCCUAGUAAUCGCGCGUCAUCAUCGCGCGGUGAAUACGUCCCCGCUCCUUGCACACACCGCCCGUCGUUCCAUCCGAGUGGGGUUUGGGUGAGGCGUAGUCCUUGGUGGCUGCGUCGAACUCAGGUUCCGCAAGGAGGGAA
rnacentral:rRNA from 1 species